rnacentral:rRNA from 1 species
AUUGAACGCUGGCGGCAGGCCUAACACAUGCAAGUCGAACGAGUGGCGGACGGGUGAGUAAUGUCUGGGAAACUGCCUGAUGGAGGGGGGUAACUCCUGGUAAAGAUAGCUAAUACCGCAUACCAUCAGAUGUGCCCAGAUGGGAUUCGCUAGUUGGUGGGGUAACGGCUCACCAAGGCGACGAUCAGUAGCGGGUCUGAGAGGACGAUCAGCCACACUGGGACGGAGACACGGCCCAGACUCCUCCGGGAGGCAGCAGUGGGGAAUGUUGGACAAUGGGGGCAACCCUGAUCCAGCCAUGCCGCGUGUAUGAAGAAGGCCUUCGGGUUGUAAAGUACUUUUGUUAGUGAAGCGGUACCUAAAGAAUAAGCACCGGCUAACUACGUGCCAGCAGCCGCGGUAAUAC